GGGACACGUGGUAUCCUGUCUGAAUAUGGGGGGACCAUCCUCCAAGGCUAAAUACUCCUGACUGACCGAUAGUGAACCAGUACCGUGAGGGAAAGGCGAAAAGAACCCCGGCGAGGGGAGUGAAAAAGAACCUGAAACCGUGUACGUACAAGCAGUGGGAGCACGCUUAGGCGUGUGACUGCGUACCUUUUGUAUAAUGGGUCAGCGACUUAUAUUCUGUAGCAAGGUUAACCGAAUAGGGGAGCCGAAGGGAAACCGAGUCUUAACUGGGCGUUAAGUUGCAGGGUAUAGACCCGAAACCCGGUGAUCUAGCCAUGGGCAGGUUGAAGGUUGGGUAACACUAACUGGAGGACCGAACCGACUAAUGUUGAAAAAUUAGCGGAUGACUUGUGGCUGGGGGUGAAAGGCCAAUCAAACCGGGAGAUAGCUGGUUCUCCCCGAAAGCUAUUUAGGUAGCGCCUCGUGAAUUCAUCUCCGGGGGUAGAGCACUGUUUCGGCAAGGGGGUCAUCCCGACUUACCAACCCGAUGCAAACUGCGAAUACCGGAGAAUGUUAUCACGGGAGACACACGGCGGGUGCUAACGUCCGUCGUGAAGAGGGAAACAACCCAGACCGCCAGCUAAGGUCCCAAAGUCAUGGUUAAGUGGGAAACGAUGUGGGAAGGCCCAGACAGCCAGGAUGUUGGCUUAGAAGCAGCCAUCAUUUAAAGAAAGCGUAAUAGCUCACUGGUCGAGUCGGCCUGCGCGGAAGAUGUAACGGGGCUAAACCAUGCACCGAAGCUGCGGCAGCGACGCUUAUGCGUUGUUGGGUAGGGGAGCGUUCUGUAAGCCUGUGAAGGUGUACUGUGAGGUAUGCUGGAGGUAUCAGAAGUGCGAAUGCUGACAUAAGUAACGAUAAAGCGGGUGAAAAGCCCGCUCGCCGGAAGACCAAGGGUUCCUGUCCAACGUUAAUCGGGGCAGGGUGAGUCGACCCCUAAGGCGAGGCCGAAAGGCGUAGUCGAUGGGAAACAGGUUAAUAUUCCUGUACUUGGUGUUACUGCGAAGGGGGGACGGAGAAGGCUAUGUUGGCCGGGCGACGGUUGUCCCGGUUUAAGCGUGUAGGCUGGUUUUCCAGGCAAAUCCGGAAAAUCAAGGCUGAGGCGUGAUGACGAGGCACUACGGUGCUGAAGCAACAAAUGCCCUGCUUCCAGGAAAAGCCUCUAAGCAUCAGGUAACAUCAAAUCGUACCCCAAACCGACACAGGUGGUCAGGUAGAGAAUACCAAGGCGCUUGAGAGAACUCGGGUGAAGGAACUAGGCAAAAUGGUGCCGUAACUUCGGGAGAAGGCACGCUGAUAUGUAGGUGAAGUCCCUCGCGGAUGGAGCUGAAAUCAGUCGAAGAUACCAGCUGGCUGCAACUGUUUAUUAAAAACACAGCACUGUGCAAACACGAAAGUGGACGUAUACGGUGUGACGCCUGCCCGGUGCCGGAAGGUUAAUUGAUGGGGUUAGCGCAAGCGAAGCUCUUGAUCGAAGCCCCGGUAAACGGCGGCCGUAACUAUAACGGUCCUAAGGUAGCGAAAUUCCUUGUCGGGUAAGUUCCGACCUGCACGAAUGGCGUAAUGAUGGCCAGGCUGUCUCCACCCGAGACUCAGUGAAAUUGAACUCGCUGUGAAGAUGCAGUGUACCCGCGGCAAGACGGAAAGACCCCGUGAACCUUUACUAUAGCUUGACACUGAACAUUGAGCCUUGAUGUGUAGGAUAGGUGGGAGGCUUUGAAGUGUGGACGCCAGUCUGCAUGGAGCCGACCUUGAAAUACCACCCUUUAAUGUUU
rnacentral:rRNA from 1 species